AUGGCAGCGGCGGAGAAGGAGGGGGAAGCGCAGAGGCUGCGGUUCGGACAGUGGCUGCUGAACGCCAUCAGCAGCGGGAACUACCGGGGGCUGCGCUGGAUCGACUCUGCCCACACCAUCUUCCGCGUCCCCUGGAAACACAACGCCAGGAAAGACAUCACCAGCAGUGACCUGGAGGUCUUCAAGGCCUGGGCAAAGGUCAGUGGGCGCUAUGAGGAAGGCUCUGAGGACCCGGCCAAGUGGAAGACCAACUUCCGUUGUGCCCUGAGCAGCACACACAUGUUCAAGCUGGAACAGGACCAUUCCAAGCGUGGUGAUGACCCCCACAAGGUUUUCUCCAUUGUCUCAGCCACCCUCCAGCACAGCACGGAGGGAGAUUCCAGCAUCCCAAACCCUGUGGUGGACGAGCAGGCAGCACAAGAGCAGCUGCAGGUAGCUGGGUGGGCACAGCAGGCCAGGCUGGAGCUCCACUCCCAAGACAUGGCCUCAGCAAUCGCUGUGCCAGAAAGCACCGACCCCACACAGCUCAAGACUCUGGAGGACCUGCUGCAGCACUGUGACAUCUCUCCCCGUGUCCUUGGCCCGCUCACUGCACCCUGGGUGCCCACAGGUGGCUUCUCUGCAGGGAACACUCCCCACCAGGACAUUGUGCUCCAGCCUCACCAGGACAUUGUGCUCCAGCCUCACCAGGACACCCUGCUCCAGCCUUACACAAACACCAGCCAAAACAGCUGCUUCCCUCCCACGACAUUUCCACAAUGGGUGCCCACGGUGGAGCAGCCCACCUUGGACACCUACCAAGCAACGGGCCUCAUGCCACCACAAGAGACAGGGGCCGUGCCAGCACCAUGUCACCUGAUGGAGGGCACGGUCCCCAUGCAGUACGCGGCGGAGGCGACGUUGUUCGUGCCUGCCGCCAGUCCUGUGCCACAGCCACGGCUGCUGCUGGAUAACACAGAUGGCAUCGUCUCCAUCCUGGAUGUCACCAUCUACUACCGGGGGAAGGAGUUCCACCGGGAGGUGGUUGGGGGCAGCCGCUGCCUGCUGACGUACCAGCCCCCCAGUCUGCCGGAGAGCCCGUGCCCCUGGCACGUGGUGCACUUCCCCAGCCCCGCCAGCGUGGCCGACAGCAAGCAGCGGCGCAUCACCGAGGAGCUGCUGGGCGUCGCGGGGCUGCAGCUGGAGCAACGCGCCUACAAGGUCUUUGCUACCCGCCGGGAGAAGUGCAAGGUGUUCUGGGCCUUGUCCCAGCAGCUCGAGGGGGUUGAGGAGCCUCCACCCAACCUGCUCUACCGGGACCAGGAAACGCCCAUCUUUGACUUCAAUGAGUUUUGCACAGAGCUGAGGGACUUCCGCAAUGGCCAAAGGCGGCGAUCCCCCGACUUCACCAUCUACCUCUGCUUUGGGCAGGCCUUCUCCAAGACCAAGCCUAAGGAGUCCAAGCUCAUCCUGGUCAAGCUGGUGCCCAAGUUCUGCGAGUAUUACUACGAUCAGGUGCUGCAGGAGGGAGCCUCCUCCCUGGACAGCCACACCAUCAGCCUGCAGCUCUCCAACUCCUUUGACCUCAUGGAACUCAUUGAGCAGUACAACAUGCAGCUGGGCUGACCCCACCUUCCCCUCCCCAUGGCUCUGGCACAGGCAGCAGGACCCCUGGGCAUCCCAGGCUCUGCAAACCAGCAUCCCCCAACCCAAGGACAGCUUCACUGACCAGUCCUGGAGCUCACACAUUUGUGAAAAACCCUUUUCCCCUGUCAGCUUCUAGCGUGUGUUUUUGUGGAGAGUGGGUCUCCAUGGAGAUGCUCCUGAGCUGCUGGAGAGGUGGUGCUGCACCAGGAGCUGCAUGGGAAGAGAAGGAGAGAUGAGGUGGCAGUGAGAGGAACCCAGAAAAGCUGCAGGACUUGGGCUCUAUGGAGAUGGUCCUGGUCCCCAUUCUCACCUUGAACAUCAUUAUUAAAAAUGUAGGCUGGAGAA